rnacentral:pre_miRNA from 1 species
CUGAGUUCCAGACAUUGUUAUAGUUCGGCUAUUGUCGUUAUUAUAAUAACGACAAUAGCCGAACUAUAACAAUGUCUGGAACUCAG